GUGCUCACUUCGGCAGCACAUAUACUAAAAUUGGAACAACACAGAGAAGAUUAGCAUGGCCCUUGAGCAAGGAUGACAUGCAAAUUUGUGAAGCAUUCCAUAUUUUA
rnacentral:snRNA from 1 species